AAUGAGCUGGCGAUGAGAGGCGAUGAGCGGCCUUAGCCACGUUGGAGUUCCUCCUUGUAGAUGAUGGACAGGUCGUGGUUUGAAACCCCGUAUUUGCACUAUGUUGUGCUAUGUGAGAUAAAACACGCGUCAUAUGAUGAGCGUGGUGACGUUUCUGCUGGGGACUCGGACUUGGUCCAUCACGAUUGAUGACUUACUGCAUUUUUUGACUGAGACUGAGCUUGUAACCAUA
rnacentral:lncRNA from 1 species